GGCGUAAAGAGCUCGUAGGUGGUUUGUCGCGUUGUUCGUGAAAUCUCACGGCUUAACUGUGAGCGUGCGGGCGAUACGGGCAGACUUGAGUACUGCAGGGGAGACUGGAAUUCCUGGUGUAGCGGUGGAAUGCGCAGAUAUCAGGAGGAACACCGGUGGCGAAGGCGGGUCUCUGGGCAGUAACUGACGCUGAGGAGCGAAAGCGUGGGGAGCGAACAGGAUUAGAUACCCUGGUAGUCCACGCCGUAAACGGUGGGUACUAGGUGUGGGUUUCCUUCCUUGGGAUCCGUGCCGCAGCUAACGCAUUAAGUACCCCGCCUGGGGAGUACGGCCGCGAGGCUAAAACUCAAAGAAAUUGACGGGGGCCCGCACAAGCGGCGGAGCAUGUGGAUUAAUUCGAUGCAACGCGAAGAACCUUACCUGGGUUUGACAUGCACAGGACGCCGGCAGAGAUGUCGGUUCCCUUGUGGCCUGUGUGCAGGUGGUGCAUGGCUGUCGUCAGCUCGUGUCGUGAGAUGUUGGGUUAAGUCCCGCAACGAGCACAACCCUUGUCUCAUGUUGCCAGCGGGUAAUGCCGGGGACUCGUGAGAGACUGCCGGGGUCAACUCGGAGGAAGGUGGGGAUGACGUCAAGUCAUCAUGCCCCUUAUGUCCAGGGCUUCACACAUGCUACAAUGGCCGGUACAAAGGGCUGCGAUGCCGCGAGGUUAAGCGAAUCCUUUUAAAGCCGGUCUCAGUUCGGAUCGGGGUCUGCAACUCGACCCCGUGAAGUCGGAGUCGCUAGUAAUCGCA
rnacentral:rRNA from 1 species